UACAGAGGUCUCAAGCGUUGUCCGGAUUUAUUGGGCGUAAAGAGCGUGUAGGCGGUGCGGUAAGUCGGGCGUGAAAUCCCCCGGGCUUAACCCGGGGCGGUCGUUCGAAACUGCCGGGCUAGAGUCCGGAAGAGGCGAGUGGAACUCCCUGGUGUAGCGGUGGAAUGCGCAGAUAUCAGGAAGAACACCAACGGCGAAGGCAGCUCGCUGGGGACGGUACUGACGCUGAGACGCGAAAAGCGUGGGGGGAGCGAAACAGG
rnacentral:rRNA from 1 species